CUGUAUCUGGGCCCUUGAGCUGCUGCUUGGCCCGCUCCCACACUGUUGAGUGUACUUUCAUUUUUAAUAAACCCUUGCUUUUGUUCUUUCAUUGCUCCAUUUUUCCCUUGCUUUUCUGUGUGUUUUCUCCAAUUCUUUGUUCAAAAACGCCAAGAACCUAGACAACUUUCAGUCAAAACCCUCUACUGGUAACAUAUUUUGGCAAGCCAGCCAGGAGAGAAGAUCCCUACCUGUGUCUGGGUUGGCAGCAGCAGCAGCUCAUCCAGGGCAAACUCACACGUUUCAGGAUCAAGCCAGCAAUACCAGAAGAUCCGGACCAGGAACCUGAAGUUUCCAUCAGCCACUACACCUGUGAACCUGUGGAAGCCCUGAAGUUCCUGUUUAAAAGACAGCCAAAAGAUGAGUAAAUGCCUACCAAUUUUCCUUGGUGCCUUUGUUGCAUAAUUACCGUAGGCUGGAUAAUAGUAGUCAUUUAUUUUAUUUUUGCAGUUUAAUUGCCUUCUUCCAAAUGGAUAGAAUCACUUCCUUUGUAGUAAUUAAGUUGAAUGUUUUAAUACAUUUUUAUAACAAACAUUCCUGACAGCAUAGGUAUCCACACCCAAAGUUCCCAUUAAGUCUUUUAACCGAAUUCAUUUCCUCUCGCAUAGAGACUAUCAAGCCUCAGAUGAUCAUGCAACAAGGUUUCCAGCCAGUUCCAAGUGAAGACACCACCCCUGGCCAUCAAGAAGCCACCCUAUCUUCACUAGACAGAGUAGGGAGAGAGUUCCAUGAUCUCCAACAGAUAAGGACUACUCCCAAGUCAGCAUGAAGCAGUUACAGAAGAAAGUCCAUCAGUCCCUCUGCCUCCCAUAAAGAUUUAUGGGGAUCACGUCUCUCAGGGAUGAGAUGAGGCAGGAGAACAGGUCUGGAGGAAGGGAACCUAAGGUUGUUUCACAAUGACUUCCUAGAACUAAACUGAAACGAAAACCCUAACUUUCCACACCUAAGUAACAAAAGGACCAGAGACUACUGCCUUUGCAAACCCUCACCUUGUCUGCACAGCAGAUGGGAAAUUAAAAGUGCCUCUGAUUGGUUGGUGUUUUUUUUUUUUUUUUUUUUUGAGUUGGAGUCUUGCUCUGUUACACAGCCUGGAGUGCAAUGGCACACUCUCAGAUCACUGCAGCCUCUGCCUCUCGGUUUCAAGCAAUUCUGCCUCAGCCCCCCGAGUAGCUGGAAUUACAGGCACCUGCCACCACAGCUGUCUAAUUUUUAAAAUAUUUUCAGUAGAGACGGGUUUCGCCAUGUUGGCCAGGCUGGUCUCAAACUCUUGGCCUCAGGAGAUCCGCCCGUCUCCAGCCUCCCAAAGUGCUUGAGCCACUGUGCCUAGCCAACUGGUUGCUUUAUGCAGCCAAUCAGAUGUUUGCACAGGAGUGUGACCUUUGACAUUUCAGCCUCCUAUUGGUUGCUUUCUGCAACCGAUCAGACUGAUUGUGGGCCAACACUUCAUUUACAUGAAGGGAGCACCAAGUAGCCAAUAGGAAACCUCUAGAGGGUAUCUGGACCCCAGAAGAUUCUGUAUCAGGGGCCCUUGAGCUGCUGCUCAGGCUGCUCCCACACUGUGGAGUGUAUUUUCAUUUUCAAUAAAUCCCCACUUUCAUUCUUUUUUUUUUUUUGAGACGGAUGCUCUCUCUGUUGCCCAGCCUGGAGUGCAGUGGCGCCAUCUCUGCUCACUGCAACCUCCACCUCCUGGGUUCAAGCGAUUCUCCUGCCUCAGCCUCCUAAGUCGCUGGGAUUAUAGGCAUUCACCACCACGCCUGGCUAAUUUUUUGUAAUUUUUAGUGGAGAUGGGGUUUUGCCAAGUUGGCCAGGCUGGCCUUGAACUCCUGACCUCAGGUGAUCCACCCGCUUAGCCUCCCAAAGUGCUGGGAUUACAGGCUGGAGCCACUGUGCCUGGAUGCAUUCUUUCAUUGCUUCAUUCUUUUCUUGCUUUGCUGUGCGUUUUGUUCAUUUCUUUGUUCAAAAUGCCAAGAAUCUGGACAACUUGCAGUCAAGACCCUCUACCAGUAACACAACCUCUUCAUGAGAUCCAUGAGGAAGAGGACUUGCCCAGUGGUACACAGAAGAAGUGAAACUAGACAUCACUUCUCCUAAGGCUGAACCUACAGAUUAUAUGAGAGAUGGCCAUGUGGCUCUGCUCCAGGUGGACAUGGGUGACAGAUGCCGCUGUGGCUCUGCUCCUUGGUGGAUGUGGGUGAGAGAUGCUCAUGUAGCUCUGCUCCUUGGUACAUGUGUAGAUGAGAGAUGCCCACGUGGCUCUGGUCCUUGGUGGGUGUGUAGGUGAUGGAUGCCCCUGUGGCUGCGCUCCUUGGUACAUGUGGGUGAGAGACACCCCUGUGGCUCUGCUUCUUGGUGGAUGUGGGUGAGAGAUGCCCCUGUGGCUCUGCUCCUUGGUGGAGGUUUGUGUGGUUGCUCAAGGUAACCACAAUGCCAGCAUGGUAUGCCCUGCAGCAUCACUGGAAAAUAGGAAGGGGCUGCAUAGACCCUUCCAGCAUCAUUCCUUGUCUAUCUUUCUAGCAACCAAGUCCCCUCAACCCCAUUACCCACCUCCUUUUGACUCCUACAGACACACUCCACCAUAAUACAAGAGGUCAACACCCUUAGUCAGUGAAAGGUUAACUCUCCCAGCCACCUCAGUGGCAUAUUCCUUUCAGAUGAGAGUACCUGGCAUCUCCACAUAAAGGAAUUUGGAUGAAAUUCUGGAAGGUCACAGACACAGUGACUGGAAACCAAACCAUAAACAAGAUGGAAGAAGGGAAGGGACAUGUUCCCAAUCAGGUAGACCCCGGCUUGCACCCUGGCCCUGCCACCUCCUGCUGAGAGAACCUCGGCAGGGCCUUAACCUCUCUGGCCUCAGUUUUCUCAUUUGCAAAAUGAAGAUUCAAGAUGAUAAUAAUGAAACUACCUCUCAGUGAAAAACUAUUCACUCAUUGACUAAUCGAUUCAACUACUGAACAAGAUAAAGGCCCUGCCCCUGCCCCCACAGGCACACCCCAUCCGCCUAUGACUAGAGUAAAGGGCAAUCAGCAAAGAAAGAAAUAAACAAGAUGAUAGCAUCAAGUAAUAAUACUAGAUGACAAAAAAAAUCAGGUUAUGGUAACACAAAUUGGGGUGGGUUGCCUUUAGGGGUCUGAUAAGAACUCUCUGAGGAGGUGGGCUUUGACUCUCCCCGGGAGAAACGAGAAACACUUGGGGAAAGAGCCAAUGGAAAAAUUAAACAUGGUCAAGACCAUCAGGCCAUGCUUCCCAGCCGGGGCCUCACAUUGCAGUCCUCUGUGAGCUUUUAAAAAUCCCAACCCCCAGGCCACACUCUAGACAUCUAAAUCUCUCGAGAUGGGACCUAACCAUUGGUACUUAAAAAAAAAACAAAAACCCAGGUGACUAAGAUGUGCAGCCAAGGUUGACAUACAGUGAUGUAAAGUAUCUGACGUACAUAUAAUAAGUGCACACAUACAUAGAAGUGACAAUUAUUAAAGCAAGGCCUCUGUCCUUGAAGAACUCACCUUCUAAGAGUGAUUGGUUAGAAUACUGGAAAUUAGGCUGGGUGCAGUGGCUCAUGCCUGUAAUCCCAGCACUUUAGGGGGCAGAGGUGGGUGCUUGCUUACUUGAGCCCAGGAGUUUGAGACCAGCCUGGGAAACAUGGUGAGAUCCCAUCUCUACAAAAAAUACCAAAUAUUAUCCGGCGCACAUCUGUAGUUCAAGCUACUCAGGAGGCUGAGAUGGGAGGACUGCCAUAGCCCAGGAGGUGGAGGUUGCAGUGAGCUGUGAUCGCGCCACUGCACUUCAGCCUGGGCGACAGAGCGAGACCCUGUCUCAAAAAAAAAAGUAAAAUAAAAACUAGAAAUUAUUACCAGCUUACUAUUAACGGCAAGGAUCUGGGCCUUGAAAUAAUAUGGCCCAGUACAACCUACCAGUCUUGCUUGUGUGUGGUGGGUAUGGGUGUUGUUGGGGACCAGCCAUGUAUCUAAAGCCUGGGGUGUGUGUGUGUGUGUGUGUGCCCUGAGUGUUAAAAGUGCAUAUGAGGCAGGAGAAUAGGGCCUGGAGGCAGGGAACCUAAAGACUUCCCAGAACUCGAUCAAACUGAAACACUUUAGCUAUGACAAGAAAUAUCCUCUUUAUUUACAUGGUAAAUGACUUUGUAACUUUACUUCGUCCUCUUCAUUUACAUAGAGUGUACACCAAGUAAAUAACUUUGUAACUUCAGUUUAACCUCCUCAUUCUAGCCAUACACCACAUAACCAAUGGAAACCUCUAGAGGGUAUUUAAACCCCAGAAAAUUCUGUAACCGGGCCCUUGAGCCGCUUGCUUGGGCCCCCUCCCA
rnacentral:lncRNA from 1 species